AUGCAGGCAGAGAAGAUUUAUCAAUAAAGGUUACCAAACUUAAGGAUGUACACAAGAUACAGUUUCAAGUACAAGAAGGUGGUUCAGGGAGUUGAUUCUGUAUUUCCCUCCAUUAAUUGGCCAUGUGAUUUUGAGAAGAAAUGUGACCUUUUGGAACCAAAUAAUCUUUUAAUUUCUUCCAACCCUAAAUUUUUUUAUAAUGAAUAUAUGUUUAUAAUUUAUGCCAACGUGGCUUCAUUCAUACACAUGAACCAAGGAUUGGGAUAGCAAGUAUAAAAUUAGAAUCAAAGAACUGAUUGCCCAGCAGGAUGCCAUCAACUAACCGAGCAGGCAGCCUGAAGGACCCUGAAAUUGCAGAGCUCUUCUUCAAAGAAGAUCCAGAGAAGCUCUUCACAGACCUCAGAGAAAUCGGCCAUGGAAGCUUUGGAGCAGUGUAUUUUGCACGAGAUGUGCGUACAAAUGAAGUUGUGGCUAUCAAGAAAAUGUCUUAUAGUGGAAAGCAGUCUACCGAGAAAUGGCAGGAUAUUAUUAAAGAAGUCAAGUUUCUACAAAGAAUAAAACAUCCCAAUAGUAUAGAAUAUAAAGGCUGCUAUUUACGUGAGCACACAGCAUGGCUUGUAAUGGAAUAUUGUUUAGGAUCUGCUUCAGAUUUAUUGGAAGUUCACAAAAAGCCAUUACAAGAACUAGAAAUAGCAGCAAUUACACAUGGUGCUCUCCAAGGAUUAGCCUACUUGCAUUCUCAUACUAUGAUCCAUAGAGAUAUCAAAGCAGGAAAUAUUCUUCUGACAGAACCAGGCCAGGUGAAACUUGCUGACUUUGGAUCUGCUUCCAUGGCAUCUCCUGCCAAUUCUUUUGUGGGAACGCCAUAUUGGAUGGCCCCAGAAGUAAUUUUAGCCAUGGAUGAAGGACAGUAUGAUGGCAAAGUAGAUGUAUGGUCUCUUGGAAUAACAUGUAUUGAAUUAGCGGAAAGGAAGCCUCCUUUAUUUAAUAUGAAUGCAAUGAGUGCCUUAUAUCACAUAGCCCAAAAUGAAUCCCCUACAUUACAGUCUAAUGAAUGGUCUGAUUAUUUUCGCAACUUUGUAGAUUCUUGCCUCCAGAAAAUCCCUCAAGAUCGCCCUACAUCAGAGGAACUUUUAAAGCACAUGUUUGUUCUUCGGGAGCGCCCUGAAACAGUGUUAAUAGAUCUCAUUCAAAGGACAAAAGAUGCAGUAAGAGAGCUGGACAAUCUGCAGUAUCGAAAGAUGAAGAAACUCCUUUUCCAGGAGGCACAUAAUGGACCAGCAGUAGAAGCACAGGAAGAAGAAGAGGAACAAGAUCAUGGUGUUGGACGGACAGGCACAGUGAAUAGUGUUGGAAGUAAUCAGUCUAUUCCCAGUAUGUCCAUUAGUGCCAGUAGCCAAAGUAGUAGUGUUAACAGUCUUCCAGAUGCCUCAGACGACAAGAGUGAGCUAGACAUGAUGGAGGGAGAUCACACAGUGAUGUCUAAUAGUUCUGUCAUCCACUUAAAACCUGAGGAAGAAAAUUACAGAGAAGAAGGAGAUCCUAGAACAAGAGCGUCAGAUCCACAAUCUCCGCCCCAAGUAUCUCGUCAUAAAUCACACUAUCGUAAUCGAGAACAUUUUGCUACGAUACGGACAGCAUCACUGGUUACAAGGCAAAUGCAAGAACAUGAGCAGGACUCUGAGCUUAGAGAACAGAUGUCUGGCUAUAAGAGAAUGAGGCGGCAACAUCAAAAGCAGUUGAUGACUCUGGAAAAUAAGCUGAAGGCUGAAAUGGAUGAACAUCGCCUCAGAUUAGAUAAAGAUCUUGAAACUCAACGUAACAACUUUGCUGCAGAAAUGGAGAAACUUAUCAAGAAACAUCAGGCUGCUAUGGAAAAAGAGGCUAAAGUGAUGGCCAAUGAGGAAAAAAAAUUCCAGCAGCAUAUUCAGGCCCAACAGAAGAAAGAACUGAACAGCUUUUUGGAGUCCCAGAAAAGAGAAUAUAAACUUCGGAAAGAACAGCUUAAGGAGGAGCUAAAUGAAAACCAGAGCACUCCAAAAAAAGAAAAACAGGAGUGGCUUUCAAAGCAGAAGGAGAAUAUACAGCAUUUCCAAGCAGAAGAAGAGGCUAAUCUUCUUCGACGUCAGAGACAAUACCUAGAGCUGGAGUGCCGUCGCUUCAAAAGAAGAAUGUUACUUGGACGCCAUAACUUAGAGCAGGACCUUGUCAGGGAGGAGUUAAAUAAAAGACAGACCCAAAAGGACUUAGAGCAUGCCAUGCUACUGCGACAGCAUGAGUCCAUGCAAGAACUGGAGUUCCGCCACCUCAACACAAUUCAGAAGAUGCGCUGUGAGUUGAUCAGGUUGCAGCAUCAAACGGAACUCACUAACCAGCUGGAAUAUAAUAAGCGAAGAGAAAGAGAACUAAGGCGAAAGCAUGUCAUGGAGGUUCGACAGCAACCUAAGAGCCUGAAGUCUAAAGAACUCCAAAUAAAAAAGCAGUUUCAGGACACCUGCAAAAUCCAAACCAGACAGUACAAAGCAUUAAGAAAUCACCUACUGGAGACUACACCAAAGAGUGAGCACAAAGCUGUUCUGAAACGGCUCAAGGAGGAACAAACCCGGAAGUUAGCCAUCUUGGCUGAGCAGUAUGACCACAGCAUUAAUGAAAUGCUGUCCACACAAGCCCUGCGUUUGGAUGAAGCACAGGAAGCAGAGUGCCAGGUUUUGAAGAUGCAGCUGCAGCAGGAACUGGAGCUGUUGAAUGCAUAUCAGAGCAAAAUUAAGAUGCAAGCUGAGGCACAACAUGAUCGAGAGCUGCGGGAGCUUGAACAGAGGGUCUCCCUCCGCAGGGCACUCUUAGAACAAAAGAUUGAAGAAGAGAUGUUGGCUUUGCAGAAUGAACGCACAGAACGAAUACGAAGUCUGCUGGAGCGUCAAGCCAGAGAAAUUGAAGCUUUUGACUCUGAAAGUAUGAGACUAGGUUUUAGUAACAUGGUCCUUUCUAAUCUCUCCCCUGAGGCAUUCAGCCACAGCUACCCAGGAGCUUCUGGUUGGUCUCACAACCCUACUGGGGGUCCAGGACCUCACUGGGGUCAUCCCAUGGGUGGCCCACCACAAGCUUGGGGCCAUCCAAUGCAAGGUGGACCGCAGCCAUGGGGUCACCCCUCAGGGCCAAUGCAAGGGGUACCCCGAGGUAGCAGUAUGGGAGUCCGCAAUAGCCCUCAGGCUCUGAGGCGGACAGCUUCUGGGGGACGGACAGAGCAGGGCAUGAGCAGAAGCACGAGUGUCACUUCACAAAUAUCCAAUGGGUCACACAUGUCUUAUACAUAACUUAAUAAUUGAAAGUGGCAAUUCCGCUGGAGCUGUCUGCCAAAAGAAACUGCCUACAGACAUCGUCAUAGCAGCCUCCUCACUUGGGUACUACAGUGUGGAAGCUGAGUGCAUAUGGUAGUUUGCCGUGAAAAAGUGGAGAGAAGACAAGACUUCUGAAAGGGUAUCUUGAUGCCCAAGUUCCCCCCAAAGUACGGGUAAUUCAACCUGCACAGUUUCCUUUUCACUCAUAGUUUUUAGCAAUUGUGAGUGAAAAAUCAUGUAAUUAUCUGUAAAUAUGUAGCUAACAAAUUGACCUAGUUUCUGUAUUUUUUUUGUUUUUGUACUAAAGUUUAUAAGUCUGUGCCAGCUAGAGAGGAGUUGCUGUCAUUGCCGAUUGUGGUUCUAGCAUCUAACCCUGAAACCAUCCUAGGUGACAUUUUUAGAAUUAAUACUUAAAUGUUGUUAAACAAGAGGAAAUGAAGCUUAAUCAUUGGUCAGGUUUAAAAUCUUUUGAAGUGAAGUCAUUUUAUUUAAUAUAAUGAUUACAUGUCCUCAAUCAUGAAUGAGGUAGGGAGCCUCCCUCCCCCAGUGGCCAUGUUUACAGAAGUGUGUUUUUUGUCUAUAAAGUGAAAGAGUUUUUAAUGUUUAUGUAAAUUAUGCAGGUAACAUUAUGGCUUGGAACUGUUUAUUGGGCUCUUUAGCUGAAUUUUAAAAUGAAAUGAACUAUUAUUGUUGGCACAUUGAUCCCAUUUCUGGAGCAUUUUUCUUAUUUCCAGAAUUACAUAUGUUCCUUUGUCAUUAUCCCACUUAACCUUUCUCUGAUAUGCCUUGUAGCCCUAGCCCUAAAGUAGUCAAGUCUGGAGAACAUAGACAAGGGAAAUGCAUUUUUUAAAAUCCAUGAACCCUCAUUUGUAUGCUUUCAGUAUUCAUGUUUCUAUGGCAACUCCGAAGUCGGAGUUUCGAAAUGAGAUACGAAUGUUAAUGAAAAGUGUGUACUCUGCUUUUGCAUGGCUUGGCUUGGCAUCAGAGGUAUAUUAGGGCCACUUGAAAGCAUGAAGACCAGUUGUGUGGAAACAGGUUUCUCUUAGUAGCACAUUUCGCUUUUUCUGAGCCCUCAAAUACAUUGCCCCAGCAUGAACAUUAUUGUUACUAUAAAUUGCACAUGGUCAUGGAGUGAAUUGUGGGAUUAAAAAAGAUGUAACUGCUUAAUGUUUUUGGGUUCUGGCUGAUCCGUAUAACUAUUUGGCACGUAUCACACAAAUGAAAGGAGGGGUGUUGGAACCCUUCUAAACCUCUUUUUUUUAUUUAUUUUUUUUUGUCAUAGACAAGUAUGUUUAGUUUAAGAUGUUGGCUGCCCCUGGUGUGUUGCCAGACAGCUCUUUUUUGGUGCCCAUUCCACAUGUGCUUCCUUGCAUUUCAUAAUAUCACAGAAAAUAUCACCCCUUCUCCCCAGUAGCACUUUAUGUGUUAUACCUUUUAUUCCACAUUAAAUGGGAAUUGUGCCUACUUAGAGUGCCCCUCCAAUUAAUUAUAUACACAUGUUCUAAAAUAAUCCAAGCCAGAGUCACAAGGUGAGAAAUUUAAAUUAAAAAAAAAAAAAUCCGCUUGAGGCCAGUAAUUUAUCUGACAAAGUAUUUUGCCACAUUAUCUUGACACUUGAUAUAUGAGCCUAUUAGGAGUUGCAGGUGGUUUCACAGAGCAAAAUCUAAGUGGAGAGGGAUAUGUGGGGUUUAUAUUAAAAGAUAAUUUUGUUUUUAUUUUACCUUUCUUUUUUUAUUAUCCUUCUCUGCAAGGUUAGAAUAGGUUAAUUCUCCAAAUUUAUUUUAUUUUGUUUUUUAUCUUUUAGGGCAAUUUUUACAAAAGCAAUGGUUUGAUGUAAAUAACAUUUUAAAGUAUAGUGCACAUAACUUCCCCAGACUAUUCCAACUUGAUAAUUUGUAAAUGCUUUAGAGUUUUUUUAAUUAACACUUGUGUUGCUAAAUCCUAUUUAUGUAAGUCUGCUAAAGUUUUUAACCCAUUUAAAACUUAAGACAUUUAAAUAAUGGAUGGGUUAUUCUGAGCAAUUUAGCUUUCAGAACUCCCUUGUUUUAGUAUGUGAAAAAGAUAGCCUAAUGUGCAUUAAUGAAGUUGGAGAGACUAUGAGAAAUAUGUAUAGUGUAUAUUUUAAAACAGCUUUGCUUGUAUUGUGAAGAUUUAAAAACAAACUUGAGAUUUUUAACGUAACUAUUAACACAGUUUUAACAUAAGUUAUCCCACUGGGUUUAAGAGCAUCUUGAAUGUAUAAUCCUUUUUGUAACCCAGGUUGGUUUCUGCUUCUACCAUUCAUCCAAACAUAUUAUUUAUGUUUUUAAUUUUAUAUACUCAUUACCCUUUGUUUUCCUCAACCAGCAUGAUUUUUUUGCACAUGUAUUGUAGAAAUUUUUAAGAAGAAAAGUUAAUACAUCAUUUUCUCUGGGUUUUCUUCACUUCUCUCUUCCUUUCUACUAACCCCUUAAAGGCCAUAUCGCUCCAUUUGCAUUAUUUGUGCAAAUGCCAGGGUUGGUUUUUAUUUUUAUUUUUUGCUAUUUACCUUUAAAAAAAAGAAAAGAAAAAUGCUUCAUUCAGUUGCUUUUUUAUUUAAAAAAGAAAAAAAGAAAAGAAAAAAAGCUGUAACCUUAUCAUUUAUGAGUAGACCAUUGAGAGAUGAAUGCACACCUGUAAUAGCCCAGGACCAGCUUUGGUGGCUAAAGGGAAUAUUUUCACUAAGCAAGAGGUUCUUUUCUAAAAGUGGUAAAUAUUAUUCACAAUCUCUUUCAGUUAUUCCCACAAGUCAGGGGUCCAGAUAAAAUGAGGGUUAUCAGCAAACUGAUAUGUUAUCAUUGAGGUUCAUCAAUGAAUUUGUACAUUUCUAGUUCCCUUUGGUGAAGGGAAAAAUGAUGAUUUUGCAAGACCUAGAUUUUGGUUUGGUUUCUUGCCUCCUUUUUUGGCAGCCUACAUCUUCUCAUCUCCUAAAGCCCUUGAGCCUGUAGGGUUUUUGUAGUGGACGAAGGACUUGUGGUCUUUAAAACUAGGACUGAUAUUUUUUUGGUGAGAGAUUAUCAUCUUGAAAGUGAUGUUCUGCCACUUUACAGAUGACUAACUUCAAAUACACAGUCCUCUAAAUUUUCGGACCAAACAGACACCCACAGUGGAGGCUUAUCAAGGGUUGCAAUGGGGAAGAAGCCUCUCCCUCACUGUCUGCACCAGCUGGUAAAGGUGACUGUACAGAUGUGCAUUUUCCUUUUGGUAGAAAUGGUCCACAGCACUAACUGGUAAGGCUUAUUGUACAGUAUAUUGUCAGUAUUCUUCUGGUUCAACAUACCUUAUAGUUCAUAUAUAACCUGUAUUAAUUGUAUAGAUUGUGCAUUUAAAGCUGUUACCAAGUUGUCAACAUAAGAGCGAAAACAAGGUCAUAUGUAAUAUUUUGUUUGUAAGUAUCCUUUGUAUCAUAGCAAAGGAAAUGUUUAAAAAAAUCAACUGUAAUAAAGUAAUUUUAGUACACA